GACGAACGCUGGCGGCGUGCUUAACACAUGCAAGUCGAACGGAAAGGCCCCCAUCUUGGUGGGGGUGCUCGAGUGGCGCACGGGUGAGUAACACGUGGGUGAUCUGCCCUGUACUUCGGGAUAAGCUUGGGAAACUGGGUCUAAUACCGGAUAGGACCAUGGUUUAGUGUCUCAUGGUGGAAAGAUUAUUGUUUUGGUGCAGGAUGAGCUCGCGGCCUAUCAGCUUGUUGGUGGGGUAAUGGCCUACCAAGGCGUCGACGGGUAGCCGGCCUGAGAGGGUGGACGGCCACAGUGGGACUGAGAUACGGCCCAGACUCCUACGGGAGGCAGCAGUGAGGGAUAUUGCACAAUGGGCGCAAGCCUGAUGCAGCGACGCCGCGUGGGGGAUGACGGCCUUCGGGUUGUAAACUCCUUUCGUUAGGGACGAAGCCGCACUUUUUUUGGGUGUGGUGACGGUACCUUUGUUAAGAAGCACCGGCUAACUACGUG
rnacentral:rRNA from 1 species